AUCAGUAAUUAUUCCAAUAGGGGAUUUUAUAAACACUUAAAAUAAGGUCUGUGUUUUGUGUAGGUUUAUCCUAGCAUGAUAUUUUGAUAAACGUGUAAAUCUCUGUAGGACAAGAUUAAUUUGAUCAACAUAUUCGCCUCUAUUUACCCCCCAAAAAUGAAAGGCUAAUGUGACUAUCAUAAAGAACUCCAAAUGCCAUAAUGAUCUGGACGAGACUGCCGAAUCGAGGCAAAGGUAAGAAUCUCUGGAUUUAACGAUCUAAUUUUAGCUAAAUGUAGUAAUGAAUAAAUUGAAUACAUUUCUUUAAAUUGACAUUUCUGUGCAAGUUUUAAAUUGACACAAUACCUGUUAGCAAAUGUGUCAGCUAGUGUUGAUUUACAGGAGCUUGCAGACAUUUCCAGUCUUGCACGAUAUCUACUUUGAUGCUAAUUAGUAUUUUCGAAUCUGAGAGUAAAUAGAGCCUAAUAUAUUGAUAAAAGUCAACUUGUCCGAGAGAAAUUUACAGUGCCUUGCAAAAGUAUUCACCCCCUUGGCGUUUUUCCUAUUUUGUUGCUUUACAACCUGUAAUUGAAACAGAUUUGAUUUGGAUUUCAUGUAAUGGACAUACAACAAAAUAGUCCAAAUUGGUGAAAUGAAAUGAAAAAAAAAAACUUGUUUAAAAAAAUAAAAAAUAAAUUAAAACUGAAAAGUGGUGGGUGCAUAUGUAUUCACCCCCUUUGCUUUGAAGCCCCUAAAUAAGAUCUGGUGCAACCAAUUACCUUCAGAAGUCACAUAAUUAGUUAAAUAACGUCCACCUGUGUGCAAUCUAAGUGUCACAUGAUCUGUCACAUGAUCUCAGUAUAUAUACAGUUGUUCUGAAAGGCCCCAGAGUCUGCAACUCCACUAAGUAAGGGGCACCACCAAGCAAGCGGCACCACCAAGCAAGCGGCACCACCAAGCAAGCGGCACCACCAAGCAAGUGGCACUAUGAAGACCAAGGAGCUAUCCAAACAGUUGUGGAGAAGCACAGAUCAGGGUUGGGUUAUAAAAAAUAUAACACUUUGUACAUCCCACAGAGCACCAUUAAAUCCAUUAUUAAAAAAUUGAAAGAAUAUGGCACCACAACAAACCUGCCAAGAGAGGGCCGCCCCCCAAAACGG
ensembl:lncRNA